rnacentral:lncRNA from 1 species
UCUGCUUCUAUCUUAUAUAUUUUUUUAGGUGGAGUCUCACGCUGUCAUUCAGGCUGGAGGGCAGUGGUGCAAUCUCAGCUCACUGUAACUCUGCCUCCCAGGUUCAAACUAUUCUCCUGCUUCAACCUCCCAAGUAGUUGGGAUUACAGGCAUGCACCACCACACUUGGCUAAUCUUUGUCUUUUUAGUAGAGACCAGAUUUCACUAUGUUGGCCAGGCUGGUCUUGAACUCCUGACCUCAAGUGACCACCUGCCUCGACCCCCAAAGUGCUGAGAUUACAGAGGUGAGCCACCGUGUCCAGCAUCUCUGCUUCUAAUACUCAGCUUUUCUCCUCCAUUGAUGAACAUCGCUUCCCAAGAAGAGAUCAGUGGAAAUUUCCUAUAGCCACUGUGUUUAUGAGUGGUGCAUGCAUGUGAUUGGACACACAUUGGCCCACUUUUUCUCUCUUUCUUUUAUCUUUCCUCUCAUUUUUCUUUUACUCAUACCCAUCCCAUCUCUUCAUCCAAGCAGAGGCCUUGCAACAACCUGUGAGAUGUGUGCUGACUGCCCACAUUUGCCAGAUGAGAAGCUGAGGAUUGGAGAUGUCCAGGAACCUGUCCAGCAUGUUUGCUUGAAUUGGGAUCCAAAUGAGGUUGGUUGAUAUGUCUAAGUGUUUUUCAAUCUGUAAUCCCUAUUUCUCACUUUUAAAAGUUUUCCUUGUCGAAGAAACCAGAUGCCCGACCUGUGUUUUCCCAUGGUGUGGACUUUACUGAUUGCAUCCCCAUGGUGGCUUCAUUCCUCCAUCUUCUGUAUUUCUUAUAAGUUGACAAUUAGUUUUUGAGACUUGAUCAGAUUCGGGUUUGGCAUUUUCAGUCAUACAGCCUCACAGUGCUACGUGUCUCCGUCAGGAGGCACAUAAUGCCUGCUGUCUCCAGCUUGGGGAUGUCAGCAAGUGUGGAUGCUCACAACUUAGAUCCAUUAAUCCAUUAGGGGUUGCAAAAUGGUGAGGUUCCAAUUCCAUCAUCCCUUCCUCAUUUGUUAGCUGGAAUACUUCUAACAGGAGAAAUAUCCCCUCAUCUGCAAUUUCGGCACCCAGUAGUACAGUUUCUUUAGGAAAGAUGGGACAAGUGCUUGAUUCUUUCUCUUUAUUUACCAACUAAUUGCCUUUUAAUGGCAUGAUACUAACAGUUAAUACUUGUAGAGCAUUUACAGAUCACAGAACAUCCUUAUCAACACUAUCUCAUUUAAUUAUCACAACAAUCCUGUGAGGUAGACACAACAGAUGGUGUUAUUUUUAAGUCUUUUUUUUUUUUUUCAGAAGAGAGAACUGAGGUCUAGAGAAGGUAAGCAACUUGCUCAAGCUCAGAAAGCUAUCAGAACAAUCGUUGCUAACUCACAGGAAGCCUUAAUUCUGAGCCAGAUCCUGUUCUCUAAAUGUGAAUUAACUCACUUACUUCUCAAACAACUGUAAGAGACAGGCAGGGACAGCUUCUGUCCACAUUUUACAGGUAAUAGAGCCUCAAAUUGCUUGAGGUCACAUAAUAAUGAUAAUAAUAAUAAUAGAGAUUAAUCUUUAUUGAGCACUUACUGCAUGCCAAAUGCCUUACUAGGGGCUUAAACAUAAUAUAGUACUCUGCUCUCUGGUGUGUGCUGGGUUCUUGCCGCAUGUCAGGCAUAUUGUCUCUUCAUAACAACCUCAUAUUAACCCCGUGUUACAGAUGACAAAACUGAUGGUCAGAAUGGUUGGGUCAUAGUCCUAGGGUCACAGAGCAUGUAUAGAAAGGUGUUGGAUUCCAAGCCAGUUCUCUUCUGCAUUACACAUCUUCAGCCCAUGGGCCAGGACUUGAGCCUACACCUUCUGACCUGUGCCUGUGCCCCCUCUUGUUCCCCUCCCCAGCAUCCCCAGAGUGUCUGAUCUAGAGGAGGAAACUUUUCCUUUGAUCGAUCAGCUGCCUCCAGGCUUGUUCACCCUCCUGUAACCAACCCCUGCUGUGCUUGGCCUUAAUUGACAAGGGAAGACCUCGGUGACAAAAAAAAGGGAAGAAACCUUAUUUUGUGGCAAAAUAAUUAGUGGUUUUAGUGACUCCACACAUCCCCAGAUGUAGCUGGGUCAGCCUUUAAUUGUUGUUCUCCACCAUUUUUCUCCCAGAAUCGGAUUAUUAAGCCCAUUCAGCAGCACAACAUAUUGAAAGGACUGGGGACC